UAGGGAAUCUUCCGCAAUGGACGCAAGUCUGACGGAGCAACGCCGCGUGAGUGAAGAAGGAUUUCGGUUCGUAAAACUCUGUUGUUAGAGAAGAACAGCGCAUAGAGUAACUGUUAUGCGUGUGACGGUAUCUAACCAGAAAGCCACGGCUAACUACGUGCCAGCAGCCGCGGUAAUACGUAGGUGGCAAGCGAUGUCCGGAUUUAUUGGGCGUAAAGCGAGCGCAGGCGGUCAAUUAAGUCUGAUGUGAAAGCCCCCGGCUCAACCGGGGAGGGUCAUUGGAAACUGGUUGACUUGAGUGCAGAAGAGGAGAGUGGAAUUCCAUGUGUAGCGGUGAAAUGCGUAGAUAUAUGGAGGAACACCAGUGGCGAAGGCGACUCUCUGGUCUGUAACUGACGCUGAGGCUCGAAAGCGUGGGUAGCAAACAGG
rnacentral:rRNA from 1 species